CGGCAUGCCUUACACAUGCAAGUCGAACGGCAGCACGGGAGCAAUCCUGGUGGCGAGUGGCAACGGGUGAGUAAUAUAUCGGAACGUGCCCAGUCGUGGGGGAUAACGUAGCGAAAGCUACGCUAAUACCGCAUACGAUCUAUGGAUGAAAGCGGGGGAUCGCAAGACCUCGCGCGAUUGGAGCGGCCGAUAUCAGAUUAGGUAGUUGGUGAGGUAAAGGCUCACCAAGCCGACGAUCUGUAGCUGGUCUGAGAGGACGACCAGCCACACUGGGACUGAGACACAGCCCAGACUCCUACGGGAGGCAGCAGUGGGGAAUUUUGGACAAUGGGCGCAAGCCUGAUCCAGCAAUGCCGCGUGCAGGAUGAAGGCCUUCGGGUUGUAAACUGCUUUUGUACGGAACGAAACGGUGAGCUCUAAUACAGUUUGCUAAUGACGGUACCGUAAGAAUAAGCACCGGCUAACUACGUG
rnacentral:rRNA from 1 species